rnacentral:lncRNA from 1 species
CAAUCGAUUGUCAUGCAGGUUUGAAGAAACCUGAUUUUGACUGCCUUAACACAAUCGAUUGUCAUUAGUUCACAAUCGAUUGUCAUGCAUUCUUGGCUUAAUACAAUCGAUUAUCAUUAGUACAUAAUCGAUUAUCUUAGUCCAGUUUUCAGAGGCAUUUAAAAAUCAUUUUGACUAAUGAAAAUAUGCAUGAUUUAAAAU